rnacentral:tRNA from 1 species
UCCUCAUUAGCUCAGUGGUAGAGCGUUUGGCUGUUAAUUGACUGAUUGUAGGUUCGAAUCCUACUUGUGGAG